rnacentral:rRNA from 1 species
UACGUAGGGUGCGAGCGUUAAUCGGAAUUACUGGGCGUAAAGCGUGCGCAGGCGGUUUUGUAAGCCAGAUGUGAAAGCCCCGGGCUUAACCUGGGAAUGGCAUUUGGGACUGCAAGGCUUGAGUGCGGCAGAGGAGACUGGAAUUCCUGGUGUAGCGGUGAAAUGCGUAGAUGUCAGGAAGAACACCAAUGGCGAAAGCAGCUCUCUGGGGCGGUACUGACGCUGAGACGCGAAAGCGCGGGGAGCGAACGGG